rnacentral:rRNA from 1 species
GAUGAACGCUGGCGGCGUGCCUAAUACAUGCAAGUCGAGCGAAUGGAUUGAGAGCUUGCUCUUAUGAAGUUAGCGGCGGACGGGUGAGUAACACGUGGGUAACCUGCCCAUAAGACUGGGAUAACUCCGGGAAACCGGGGCUAAUACCGGAUAACAUUCUGAACCGCAUGGUUCGAAAUUGAAAGGCGGCUUCGGCUGUCACUUAUGGAUGGACCCGCGUCGCAUUAGCUAGUUGGUGAGGUAACGGCUAACCAAGGCAACGAUGCGUAGCCGCCCUGAGAGGGUGAUCGGCCACACUGGGACUGAGACACGGCCCAGACUCCUACGGGAGGCAGCAGUAGGGAAUCUUCCGCAAUGGACGAAAGUCUGACGGAGCAACGCCGCGUGAGUGAUGAAGGCUUUCGGGUCGUAAAACUCUGUUGUUAGGGAAGAACAAGUGCUAGUUGAAUAAGCUGGCACCUUGACGGUACCUAACCAGAAAGCCACGGCUAACUACGUGCCAGCCGCCGCAGUAA